rnacentral:rRNA from 1 species
GAUGAACGCUGGCGGCGUGCCUAAUACAUGCAAGUCGAGCGAACAGACGAGGAGCUUGCUCCUCUGACGUUAGCGGCGGACGUGUGAGUAACACGUGUAUAACCUACCUAUAAGACUGGGAUAACUUCGGGAAACCGGAUCUAAUACCGGAUAACAUGUUGAACCGCAUGGUUCAACAGUGAAAGACGGUCUUGCUGUCACUUAUAGAUGGUUCCGCGCCGCAUUAGCUAGUUGGUAAGGUAACGGCUUACCAAGGCAACGAUGCGUAGCCGACCUGAGAGGGUGAUCGGCCACACUGGAACUGAGACACGGUCCAGACUACUACGGGAGGCAGCAGUAGGGAAUAUUCCGCAAUGGGCGAAAACCUGACGGAGCAACGCCGCGUGAGUGAAGAAGGUCUGCGGAUCGUAAAACUCUGUUAUUAGGGAAGAACAAAUGUGUAAGUAAAUAUGCACGUAUUGACGGUACCUAAUCAGAAAGCCACGGCUAACUACGUG